rnacentral:rRNA from 1 species
UACGUAGGGUCCGAGCGUUGUCCGGAAUUAUUGGGCGUAAAGGGCUCGUAGGCGGUCCGUCACGUCGGGAGUGAAAACUCAGGGCUCAACCCUGAGCGUGCUUCCGAUACGGGCGGACUAGAGGUAUGCAGGGGAGAACGGAAUUCCUGGUGUAGCGGUGGAAUGCGCAGAUAUCAGGAAGAACACCCGUGGCGAAGGCGGCUCUCUGGGACGGUACUGACGCUGAGACGCGAAAGCGUGGGGAGCAAACAGG